AUAAGAUUCCACACAAUUGAGAAAGCCGCAGCUACACGAAGAGCUAGGUCAAAAACUCACCGCCUCCAUAGAUUCGAUUUGAAUUUGAAUAUUUGAUUGCUGUGGCCGAGAUGAAGCAAUACUCUGUUUCCCUUCAUCUGUUCGGGCAAAUGCCUCAAAGAGUUGUUCAUGUAGAUCUGUACACUCUGAGUGUGGCGAUUGAUUGCUUUUGCCGACUGAAAAGAACUGAUUUGGAUUUCGCAACCUUGACAGUUUUUGUAAGAGUUGGCGGGAGCCUCGGCUGAGAAACUGUGUGAACCUAAUGAAUUUGGUCUGUAGUACUUGUUCAAGACGGGUGUAGCUAUAAGCUAUAUUGACUUGAUGAACGGGUACUGCAAAAAGCUUUUUGUAGAUGUUGGUGUAAUGAAUGAGAUAAUAUGUCGGUAGAAAAAUCAUACAUCUAAUGAUUUGAAAGUUUUGUACUCCUUCAAAGACUUGUCCAACAUCUACAUAAAAAUCUUUUCAAUGAAUGCAUUAAUGCAUAUUGGAAAGAAUUUUAGAAAGAUGCAAACGCAUAAUCGUCGUUAUAAUCAUAACGACGAUUGCGACGAGCAUAAGAGAAGGUGACGCUGGAGUGGAGUGUGCCCGAUUACAAGCGGAAUUGGAAGAUGAACUCCCACAUCCACCAAGCCAUCAUAGCAGCUCGCGCAUAGAGGAAUCCGAGGAUUCAGAUAAGCAAACAAUGUCGUUGUUAACCAGUUGAAGAUCUCAAGUCAACAAUUCCAUCAAAUGAGAAUCAAGUCAAUAAUUCCAUCAAAUGAGAAGAAGUGUAAGAAUAAAUUAAGUAAACUAGGGCAUUGCUAGAAUAGUUGAAGAACCUUAGUCAAGGAGAAGUGAAUUAUAGGUAUACUAUCUUUAUCCAUAAAAUAAUUCCACCAAAUGAGAAUAGUAGAUUAAUUACUACAUUUAUCUACAAAAAUAGUUUUUGUAGUGGAUAAGUGUUUUACUACAAAGUUUGUAAAGUAAGAGAAUAAUUCAAGGAAAAGAUAUUGAAUUAUUAUUAGUGUAA